rnacentral:rRNA from 1 species
GAUGAACGCUGGCGGCGUGCUUAACACAUGCAAGUCGAACGAUGAUGCCCAGCUUGCUGGGUGGAUUAGUGGCGAACGGGUGAGUAACACGUGAGUAACCUGCCCUUGACUCUGGGAUAAGCCUGGGAAACUGGGUCUAAUACCGGAUACGACCAUCUGGCGCAUGUCAUGGUGGUGGAAAGCUGUUGUGGUUUUGGAUGGACUCGCGGCCUAUCAGCUUGUUGGUGGGGUAAUGGCCUACCAAGGCGACGACGGGUAGCCGGCCUGAGAGGGUGACCGGCCACACUGGGACUGAGACACGGCCCAGACUCCUACGGGAGGCAGCAGUGGGGAAUAUUGCACAAUGGGCGCAAGCCUGAUGCAGCGACGCCGCGUGAGGGAUGACGGCCUUCGGGUUGUAAACCUCUUUCAGUAGGGAAGAAGCGAAAGUGACGGUACCUGCAGAAGAAGCGCCGGCUAACUACGUG